UGGGGAAUUUGGACAAUGGGCGAAAGCCUGAUCCAGCAAUGCCGCGUGUGUGAAGAAGGCCUUCGGGUUGUAAAGCACUUUUGUCCGGAAAGAAAUCCUUGGCUCUAAUACAGUCGGGGGAUGACGGUACCGGAAGAAUAAGCACCGGCUAACUACGUGCCAGCAGCCGCGGUAAUACGUAGGGUGCAAGCGUUAAUCGGAAUUACUGGGCGUAAAGCGUGCGCAGGCGGUUUGCUAAGACCGAUGUGAAAAUCCCCGGGCUCAACCUGGGAACUGGCAUUGGUGACUGGCAGGCUAGAGUAUGGCAGAGGGGGGUAGAAUUCCACGUGUAGCAGUGAAAAUGCGUAGAGAUGUGGAGGAAUACCGAUGGCGAAGGCAGCCCCCUGGCAAGUACUGACGCUCAUGCACG
rnacentral:rRNA from 1 species